UACGUAGGGGGCUAGCGUUGUCCGGAAUCAUUGGGCGUAAAGAGCGUGUAGGCGGCCCGGUAAGUCCGCUGUAAAAGUCAAAGGCUCAACCUUUGAAUGUCAGUGGAUACUGCCGGGCUAGAGUCCGGAAGAGGCGAGUGGAACUCCUGGUGUAGCGGUGGAAUGCGCAGAUAUCAGGAGGAACACCGAUGGCGAAGGCAGGUCUCUGGGCCGCAACUGACGCUGAGGAGCGGAAAGCAUGGGGAGCGAACAGG
rnacentral:rRNA from 1 species